UACGUAGGGGGCAAGCGUUGCUCGGAAUGACUGGGCGUAAAGGGCGCGUAGGCGGACUGCACAGUCAGGCGUGAAAUUCCUGGGCUUAACCUGGGGACUGCGUCUGAGACGUGUGAUCUAGAGUUAGGAAGAGGGUCGCGGAAUUUCCAGUGUAGAGGUGAAAUUCGUAGAUAUUGGAAAGAACACCGGUGGCGAAGGCGGCGACCUGGUCCUUGACUGACGCUGAGGCGCGAAAGCGUGGGGAGCAAGCAGG
rnacentral:rRNA from 1 species